rnacentral:lncRNA from 1 species
GCUGAGGGUCGGACCCAGGGCCUUGCAUGUGAGAAGCGAGUGCUCAACCACUAAGCCACAAUCCCAGCCCUAGAUUCCCCCUUUUUAAAAAUAUAUUUUUAGUUGUAGAUGGACACAAUACCUUUAUUUUAUUCAUUUAUUUUUAUGUGGUGCUGAGGAUGGAACCCAGUGCCCCAUAUGUGCUAAGCGAGCGCUCUACCCCUGAGCCCCAGCCCCAGCCCAGGAGAAGGCAGCACCUUCUUUAGUCUUUGGUGACAUGUCUCCAACACUCUCCCCAUCUGCUGUCAACAUGCACCUUCCCAAGCCAAGAAUGGGGAGGAGUGAGGGACCCUGAUCAGAGACGCCUGGGUCAGCCGGUGAAGGAGGGUCCAGGGGCUCAGACUCCACUGACGACUCCAUCCCUACCUCCACCCUGGACUCAAACAUGACACCAGCAUGGUCUUGCCUCCCUGGGUUUCAGGGUCCUUGUCCAGAAAGAGGUUUGCCUCAGUGAGGUCUCUGUGCCCCCCCACAGCCUGUUCAGUUCCUUUAUACAUUUGAUUGUGUUAUUUGGUUAUUUUUUUUAAUGUUAAAUUUUUUGAGUUCUUUACAUAUCCUAGACCCACCCCUUAUAAUCUAGCAGAGGUGUCAGGAGAUAUAUUUCAAUAUGUGUAACAAGUGGGUGCAGUGGAGCACACCUAACAAUCCCAGCAACUCAGGAGGCUGAGGCAGGAGGAUGGCAAGUUCAAAGUCAGUCUCAAGACCUGGUCUCAAAAUAAAAAAAGAAAAAGAAAAAGAACUUGGGAUGUAGCUCAAUGGUAAAGCACCCCUGGAUUCAAUGUCUAGCACCAAUUGGAAAACUGGAAAUCCAUCUGUAGCAGAAUGAGAGUUAACCCCUCUCACCCUGCACAAAGUUCAACUCAAAGACCCUGCACCUACUGGAAGAAAAGGUAGCCCCAAAUCUCCAUCAUGUUGGCGGAGGAACUGACUUCCUCAACAGGCUCCUAAAGCACAAGAAGGAAAAUCAGGAAUGAGUAAAUGGGACGGUAUUGAGUAAAAAGCUGCGACACAGCAAAGGAAACCAUCCAGAACAUGAAGACAGCCUCAGAGUGGGAGGAAAUGUCUACCACCUGCACCUCAGAGCAUUCGUCUCCAGAACAUAUAAAGAACUCAAAAAAUUAACAUAAAAAACAACCAAAUAACAUAAUCAAAUGUGUAAAGGAACUGAACAGGCACUUCACAGAAGAAGAACUACAAAUGGUCAACAAAUAUAUGAAAAAAAAUGUUCAACAUCUCUAGCAAUUAGAGAAAUGCAAAUUAAAACUACACUGAGAUUCCACCUCACUCCAGUCAGAAUGGCAAUUUUCAAGAAUACAAGUAAUAAUAACUGUUGGCGAGGAUGUGGGGGGAAAUGUACACUCAUGCAUUGCUGGUGGGACCGCAGAUUCAUGCAACCACUGUGGAAAGCAGUGUAGAGAUUCCUCAGAAAACUUGGAGUGGAACCACCAUUUGACCCAGUUAUCCCAUUUCUCAGUAGGACUUAAAAUUAGCAUACUACAGUGAUGUGGCCACAUCAAUGUCUAGCAGCUCAAUUCACAAUAGCCAAGCUAUAGAACCAACCUAGGUGCCCUCAACAGAUGAAUGGAUAAAGAAAAUGUAGUAUAUAAAUGCCAUAAAAAAUAAUGACUUUAUGAUUUUUUGCCAGAAAAUGAAUGGAUCUAGAGACUAGCAUGCUAAGUGAAAUAAGCCAAUCCCCCCAAAAUCCAAAGGUCAUAUAUUCUCUCUGAUAUGUGGAUGCUAACAUAUAAGAAGGGGGCAAGAAUAGAAGUUCAUCGGAUUAGACAAAGGGGAAUGAAGUGAAGAUAGGGAAGAUGGGAAUAGGAAAGACAAUAGAAUGAAUCAGACAUACGUAUGUUCAUAUAUGAAUAGGCCACAGUGAAACUCCACAUCACGUACAUCCACAAGACUGGG